rnacentral:tRNA from 1 species
UCCAGUAUGGCCGAGUGGUUAUGGCGUCAGACUUCAAAUCUGACUCACUGUUGUGAUCGCAGGUUCGAUUCCUGCUCCUGGAA